GCGUCGAGUGGCGGACGGGUGAGUAACGCGUGAGUAACCUACCUCUUGCAGGGGGAUAGCCCCGGGAAACUGGGAGUAAUACCGCAUAAGACCACAUCAUCGCAUGAUGUAGUGGUGAAAACUACGGUGGCAAGAGAUGGACUCGCGUCUGAUUAGCUAGUAGGUAAGGUAACGGCUUACCUAGGCGACGAUCAGUAGCCGGCCUGAGAGGGCGGACGGCCACACUGGAACUGAGAAACGGUCCAGACUCC
rnacentral:rRNA from 1 species